CAGGUUCUGAAGAGGAUGAUCAAGUGCUGCUCCAUGAUGAACUGCCACACACAGGUGGCCGUCCUCUGCCAGUUCCUGAGGGAGGUGGACUACAUGACGGCGUUCAAAGCUCUUCAGGAACAGAACAGUCACGACGCCAUGGACUCGUUCUACGACUACAUCUGGGACGUCACCAUCCUGGAGUAUCUCACAUGUAUCCUUACGCUGCC